ACUUAACAUCAUCAUAACAACAAGAAAUAAAGCAUCUAAAGUAUGGUCAAACCUUGUCAGAAAAAUUAACACUUAAAAAUUCUGGGCUGCCCAGAAUUUUCUGGUCAAUGCCGGUCAACCCACUUUGACCUUAAAUAAAUCUUAAUCCGUAAUAUAUAUGGACCUGAUUAUUUUUGGAGGUUAAAUACCACAUAACAAGCUACACAUAUCAACCUUUAGAACACAAAACUCAUUAAAGAUGACCGAGAUAUAAGGCCUGAUAUUUGCCAAAAAAAAUAUUUCUGGACACUUAGAAUAUUUUCUGGGUUUGAAAAACAGUCGGUCAAUGCCGGUCAACUCACUUUGACCACUUAUAAAUCCCGAUAUACAAUAGCUAUGAACUUUAUUCCUUUUGGAGAUUAAAGACCACAUAUCAGGCUACCUAUAACAACUUUUAAAAAAACAAAACAAUUAAAUAAUCACAGAGAUAUAAGUCUUGACAUUUGCCCAAAAAUCACAGAAUUCGGUUUUUCCAACUUGCUCAAAUCUUCAAAUUCGUGCACUUUGAUGUUAUGGGUUCAUGAUUUUACAACCCAGAACAUUAAUAGACUCUCUAUUACACUACUUUAAACAAUCAAUUGCAUCAAUUAACAUCGAAUCGAAGGAUUUCAAAAUUAGGGAAUUUCAUACCUUUUCUAGCUUCGAUUUUUGAUUUUUUUCUGGCUUUGAUGCUUCUGAUUUGUUGUUUGUGAUGGCUGGGCUUUGAUUAGGAGCUUAUGGGCAAGAUAAUUUCGUUGGUAAGAGCUUGAGAGAGUAAAGCUAGGUGUUUGCUAUAAUUUUAGUGUACAAAUGAGUUUAAUCUCUUCCUAAUUUAUAAAAUUGAUUGAAUCAAUCAAUGUAAGGGCUGAUAAUUG
rnacentral:lncRNA from 1 species